CAGUUUCUGUGUAUUCUUUUAAUUGUUUCAUUUCACAUUGAAAUACCUUAUUUUGGCAGGUAUUUUUCAAGCUAGUGUUUUGAAGCAACAGCCUGAGAAGUAUACAUGUGUAUAGGCUCUAAGCCUGGGCUGCCACCAUCUGAUGGGCUUUCCCAGAAAGACAAGAAUAGCUACUGCUGCUCCUGAACCCUUUAUGAACCCAGAAAGGACAAGGAGCCUCUUCCUUUGAUGCUGCGGAGUGGAAGGGCCAGGGCCAGGAGUCCUUUUCCAGCCUAGGAUGGGCAGAGAAGAAGAGGACACUUGGAUCCCUAAUAAAUCCUGUGGGCCAGAAGUGGAACGAAUUUUUCCUACCAGGCUGUGGAGCUACUCCAAUGCCACUACUUCUGCCUUGAAGUUGCUGUAACCCCUGCUGCUGCUGCUGCACUCCUUUGGACAAAAUAGGUGGUAAUCAGUCCCACAUUUCCCCCUCUCAUGUCCUGUGGCCAUCCCCAGCUGCAAGGGGCACGGAGGGGGCCUCUGGAACUGGGCUAUGCAACAGUCAGGGACUCUGCAUCC